AGAACGAACGCUGGCGGCAUGCCUAAUACAUGCAAGUCGAACGAACUCUUCGGAGUUAGUGGCGCACGGGUGCGUAACGCGUGGGAAUCUGCCCCUUGGUUCGGAAUAACAGUUGGAAACGACUGCUAAUACCGGAUGAUGACGAAAGUCCAAAGAUUUAUCGCCAAGGGAUGAGCCCGCGUUAGGAUUAGCUAGUUGGUGAGGUAAAGGCUCACCAAGGCAACGAUCCUUAGCUGGUCUGAGAGGAUGAAUCAGCCACACUGGGACUGAGACACGGCCCAGACUCCUACGGGA
rnacentral:rRNA from 1 species